rnacentral:rRNA from 1 species
UACGGAGGGUGCGAGCGUUGUCCGGAAUCAUUGGGCGUAAAGGGCGCGUAGGUGGCCCGGUCAGUCCGUGGUGAAAGCGCGGGGCUCAACCCCGCGUCGGCCAUGGAUACUGUCGGGCUCGAGUCCGGAAGAGGCGAGUGGAAUUCCUGGUGUAGCGGUGAAAUGCGCAGAUAUCAGGAGGAACACCAAUGGCGAAGGCAGCUCGCUGGGACGUGACUGACGCUGAGACGCGAAAGCGUGGGGAGCAAACAGG